rnacentral:rRNA from 1 species
GAUGAACGCUGGCGGCGUGCCUAAUACAUGCCAGUCGAGCGAACAGACGAGGAGCUUGCUCCUCUGACGUUAGCGGCGGACGGGUGAGUAACACGUGGAUAACCUACCUAUAAGACUGGGAUAACUUCGGGAAACCGGAGCUAAUACCGGAUAAUAUAUUGAACCGCAUGGUUCAAUAGUGAAAGACGGUUUUGCUGUCACUUAUUGAUGGAUCCGCGCCGCAUUAGCUAGUUGGUAAGGUAACGGCUUACCAAGGCGACGAUGCGUAGCCGACCUGAGAGGGUGAACGGCAACACUGGAACUGAAACGCGGUCCCGACUCCUACGGGAAGCAGCGGUAGGGAAUCUGCCGCAAUGGGCGAAAGCCUGACGGAGAAACGCCGCGUGAGUGAUGAAGGUCUUCGGAUCAUAAAACUCUGUUAUUAGGGAAGAACAAAUGUGUAAGUAACUAUGCACGUCUUGACGGUACCUAAUCAGAAAGCCACGGCUAACUACGUG